rnacentral:lncRNA from 1 species
CCCGAUAGCGGAUUUCCAAGGAUUUGACUGACUUUGUUUACCAAAAAGCAUUUGACUCACCAACAUGGUAGCAGUGGGGGUGCAAGGUUGUUGGGUGAUUGUUCUAGCUACUACUUCACUGACACCUAAAUCUUGGUAGCUGGAUUCAAGCAAUGGACCAACAGGACUAGGAGCUUCCAGAUGGUAAGAAUGAGACCAAGACAAAUGCUGGCAGCCAAACAAACAAACGGGGAC